GCCUGCCUCCUCUCCGCUGUUAUCAGCAGUCAGCCCUCCGUACCCACAGGGUGGCAGCUUCCUGUACCUUGACCGCCGUUGGAAGGCUGAGCAAGCUCAGCAGCAGAAUCACCAUCCACUUGCGGUCGCCCUUUUGGCCCGAGGAUGCACAGCCUGAGGGAAGCUGGGGAAGCUCCUUUCUCUCUCCCUCUCUGAGCCCCUUCUUUGCUUGUUUCCUCCCUCCUCUUUCCCCGGUCAGGGCGGGGGAUGGAGAAGCAUCUCUGGUAGAGGCCUCCUGAUUCUCCUAUAUACUUAGUAGGCUAUCUCCCAAAUCUUCUUUCUACAGAAUGGGAAAGGAAGGCAACCUUUAGGAAUAUGUUUGUCUUCUCGUAGCCUCAGGGAUUGCAAAUUAGGAUAGCAUAGGAAGGUGUGCCCGGGAGGCGAUGUGUGCCGGGCUGGUGAUGGGAGGGUGCAUUGUUAUCAUUACGCCAUAAAGAGAGCUAAAGGUACCCGGAAGAAGGAGCGGCAGUCUGGAACUCAGCAGGAUGAAAAAGGACUCGGUAGACCGGCAUCCAGGACCAACCUGACCUCGUGGAUGCGAAGAUCUUUCUUCACUGGCUUGUUUUCCCCGAAGUGUAGUAGUGUCUAACAGCGGGGUUGGUUUCUCCUGUUCAGACUCUGGGAUUUCCCCACCCAGAAAUGGGAUUAUGGUGGAGAAGUGAAGAUGUUCUCUCUCAAAGCACUUCCUCCUUAGGAGCUUGGCUGGAGCAACUCUCAUCACUAUUACCAGAUUCCAAUUCACUGGAUUCCGAACUAUCUUGAUGGUUUUAUAAAAGCUCCACAGAACACGGUCAAGUCCUUCAACAAUCUCAGCAGAUAUUCUGUGUAGGGUAAAUGGCUUUGAAUGACUGAUUCCAGGGAGAAGUCCAGCUCUUAUUCACACCUCUGAUUGAUAUAUUCAAUUGAGACGUGUUGUCACCUGAUAAAGUGCAACGUUUCUUGUAACAAAAAAAUGGAGAAAAUAAAGCAAUUCAGCAAAGCUAUCAACUGAAUCUCACAGUGUGAGCCGUGGUGGAUCGCAAUGUUUUACAGCUAUAAUCCUGCACAUCUGCAAAGAAGGGAUAGAGAGAUGGAUUUUUUUCUUUUUUUUUUUUCUGCACAAGUUGUUCAUUGUGAUUGCACAGAAUUCAGAUAUUAUUCUAUGAUUUGGCUUCUAGCCUGGCACUCAUUCAAGGGAAUAACACCUAUGGAGAGGAGAUCAGUCAUCCUUACCAUGAAGCAACAUCAACUCUAGACCAUUUGCUGCCUCUGGGGUGGUCAAGCCAGCUUGGCUGAGGCAACAAGGAACUCUGAGGGAGAGACAGAAGUCAGCAUGCACCAACCUGGUCAAACCAUUGCCACCAUAUUUAUAACCACUUCUCCUCAGACCCUGGUAAAGAUUAUAUCCAUUAUAUCCAAGGCCUCCCAGACUACUGGUCCUGCUUCCAGCUCUGGCCCAGCAAGCACCAUUCAAGAGAAUACCUUUACGGAGACAGAUCCUGCUAUGACCUCUAUCCCCAACACCAACCUCCGACCAACUGUUACUGAUGGACCAGGAAGCUUAAGAGCCCUCCAGACCACCAGCUCUGCUUACAAUAAUCCUUAUAGAGAUUUGAUUUCAAAACUAUCUCUUAUAGAACUGAAGUCCCUGCCACCUCAGAAGUCACAGGUACAGAAGACCCAGAAAAGAAAGCUCACACCAAAGUCCUUGACACUGUUAAAUAGUUCCAUAUUAGAUAUAGAAGUGGUUUCAUCAGUGGAAGUGACAUUGAAGAAGAUUCAUUGACAUCUGUUUUGCCAUUGUCCUUUAAGGAUCUCUGACCUUUCCAUCUGCCCUAUACUUGAAACCUCCUUUCUUCUCUACUUAUUUGUUCUAUCAUUUAAAAA